CAAUAAGCUGUGGGCAGAUAAAGUGAACGUGUGUAUCAAUCCCGCCGGCAACAACAAUAUUGUGUUCGCCAGCCAUCACUUCUGUUGACACGCCAACAAUCAUAUUGGGCGACACACCUUCCAUCACGUCUGGAUUACCAGCCUUGCCGAUACCGGAAAUAAGGCCAUUUUUUAUACCAAUAUCAGCCUGUUAACAGGAGUGCAAAAAUAAAUUCUCAUAGAUUAGUUUCGGGUAUAUCCUUAAUAUUACUUUCUUUCUUCUCUCUCUCUCUCUCUUGCUUUUUACUAUCAUUAGUAUUAUUACUGUUGCUAUUAUUAUUUCUUACCUUAUAAAUUCCUGUAUAGUCGAGGAUAAUGGCAUUUGUAAUGACAAGGUCCAGUGCUUCAGAAUCGGGUAUACCAUUUGCCUGGCCCAUGCCCUCUCG
rnacentral:sRNA from 1 species